rnacentral:rRNA from 1 species
AGAANUGUGGUAAUUCUGNNNNNNAUACAUGCGAUUAAGCGCCGACCCUCAUUGGGGAAGCGUGCUUUUAUUAGGAACGAGGCCAGUACGGUCUUUCGGGGGCCNGUCUCCGCUGGUNAACUCUAGAUAACCACGCCGAUCGCACGGUCUCGCACCGGCGACGCUCCCUUCAAAAGUCUGCUCUAUCAACUUUCGAUGGUAAGUUAUCUGCUUAUCAUGGUUGUGACGGGUNACGGAGAAUCAGGGUUCGAUUCCGGAGAGGGAGCCUGAGAAACGGCUACCACAUCCAAGGNNGGCAGCAGGCACGCNAAUUACCCACUCCGACNCGGGGAGGUAGUGACAAAAAAUAACGAUACAGGCCUCUUCGGAGNCUCUGUAAUCGGAAUGAGUACACUUUAAAUCCUUUAACGAGGANCU